rnacentral:rRNA from 1 species
AUUGAACGCUGGCGGCAGGCCUAACACAUGCAAGUCGAGCGGAUGAAGGGAGCUUGCUCCUGGAUUCAGCGGCGGACGGGUGAGUAAUGCCUAGGAAUCUGCCUGGUAGUGGGGGAUAACGUCCGGAAACGGGCGCUAAUACCGCAUACGUCCUGAGGGAGAAAGUGGGGGAUCUUCGGACCUCACGCUAUCAGAUGAGCCUAGGUCGGAUUAGCUAGUUGGUGGGGUAAAGGCCUACCAAGGCGACGAUCCGUAACUGGUCUGAGAGGAUGAUCAGUCACACUGGAACUGAGACACGGUCCAGACUCCUACGGGAGGCAGCAGUGGGGAAUAUUGGACAAUGGGCGAAAGCCUGAUCCAGCCAUGCCGCGUGUGGUAAGAAGGUCUUCGGAUUGUAAAGCACUUUAAGUUGGGAGGAAGGGCAGUAAGUUAAUACCUUGCUGUUUUGACGUUACCAACAGAAUAAGCACCGGCUAACUUCGUG